GAUACUGCAACAGCAAUCCAACUAGUACGGGAGGAACAGUUGGUUGAGAUACUUGGUUAACGUGGCUAGUUAGGGGUGCCACUACGGUACGACCUGUUAGAUCAUAACUCACGGCCUCUAACUCAGAAUCAACGCCAAUUAAGCGGUGUC
rnacentral:ncRNA from 1 species